UAAAGGAUCAUAGAUUUUUAUUCAUGUAGAUAGGCUAAAAUGGGAGAAAAGCACAUAGUUUUUAGUUUUUUUUUUUUCUUAAAUCCUUUCUGUAUUAGGCUUUUCUGUCUAGGUCAGCUCUGAAAACUGAGUGGAUUGGUAAGUGGAAAGUUACACAGCCAGUGUCCCACCCCUCUCUUAAGCGUGUCCCAGGAAGCCCUGCACUAGCUCAUGUUGGUGGAUCCUUUUACUCUUUAGAAAGAAUGGCAUCCUUUCCCCUGUUGCUCUGGGCUCAGUAACUUGGUUCACAAACUUAAUGGAAACAUUUGCAUUUCUGAUAAAUGAACCUUGCCCAGACACUUGCCCCUCUAGGAUUACUAGGAGGACUUGCGGCAUUGUAUGAGUCGUCCCCCCCCCCCCCAUCUCUUUGCUAGUAUGUUUCAACUGAAAUUGCACAAGAAUUUUGUAACAUGUGAACUCUGUGUUUGCAACAGGAUAACUUCCCUGCAAGAAUGUUAACUGUUGUUUGCUCUACUUAGUAUCUCUGCCUAGCAGCUCAGUUAAACAAUCAGAAUUUGCAGGUAGAAACAGGUGGAUCUCCAGCUCAAGACUAGCCUAGCUUACUUAUAGUGAGCUCCCGCCCAAUCAGGGCUCCUUAUUGAGAACUUUUCUCAAAAAUGAAGGAAAACAGACAAACAAAAGAACGGAAGGAGGAGGGAAGGAGGGAGAGAAAAGAAAAGGAAGAAGGAAAGGAGUUUGUAUAAAUUGUUUAUAUUAAUUCCUUGGACAUUGUAAUGGUGUUCCACUUUAGUAUUCAUUCUGCUCAUUAAAAAUCUUUUUAUUUUUAAUAAUAAAAGCUUAUUGAAUGCUAAAAUCACUGUAACUUUUUAAGUAAGCACUGUCUGUUCCUGGGUUCACAGAGCAAUGCCGGUGACAUUAAGAAUGUCUCCAACAUGACACAGCUAUAUUUUCUGGAUGCAGAGUAGAGACAGCUGGGAGUGACCUUCUGCCAGUCCCCGUGCCUCGGGAGAGCAAAGUCAACCUGUGCUCUUUGGUGCUGUGUGCUGAUCAGGAGCAAGCAGUUGGCCUGGGUUUGCAAGUUCCUCCCGAGCUUCAAAGAGGAGUUUGUAACCAUCUACCCAUGCUGUGGGGAACCUUCCAGGAGUGAACCACAAGGGAUGGACAACACAGAAGGUUCAGCUCUAUGCAUGUAACUGGCAUUCCACUCCCUGCCCUUCCUGUCCAGCCGCUUCUUAAACAUGACUGAUUCACCAGCCACUUGCCUCCAUGAUCGGUUCCUUCUUUCAGUUUGAACCACCACCUGCUUGACUCAGCAGCAGCGAUCCACAGCAAGCAUCCUCUGGGAGGCGGUGAUGUCAUCCUGUGUCAUCACCCAUCUCACCACCAUACUGGAGUUCUCCAAGGUCCUGAACCCAGAACUGCUUCUCCAGCCUUGGUGUUUAAGGAACACAGUUCAAGCGGUCAGACACUCUCCAGGAAUUGAAUAUCUGCACCCACACUGCACCCACUUAACUGAUGUGGGAGUGUCAUAUCAAUCUGUUGAUUUCAUUGGCUGAGCAAUAAAGAAACUGCUGGCCCUGAUAGGUUAAAAGAUAGGUGGGUGGAAUAAACAGAAUAGAAUUCUGGGCAGAAGAGGAAGUGAGGUCAGACUCUGCGCUGCUUCCAGAGGGACCGGACAGCCGCCAUGCUCUGCUCUCCCAGGCAGCUGCAACCCACGAUGGACUUAGGCUAGAAUCUUCCCGGUAAGCGCACCUUGGGGUGCUUACACACAUCAUUAGAAAUGGGCUAGUCCAGGUGCGAGAAUUAGCCUGUAAGGGCUAGAGUUCAUGGGCCAAGCAGUUCUUAAAUGAAUACAGUUUGUGUGUUGUUAUUUCGGGCAUGAGCUAGCCAAGCGGCUGGGGUGUUGGGGACGCAGCCCCGCCACUCCUAUUGCAACACUUAACUGUGGGAGCUUCCUGACAAGGCAGGCAGAUUGGGGUUCUGCUUGCCACCUGCCAUCCUGAAUCUAUCUGCCUGUGGGGGAUGCUGCUCCAGCCUGUGUAAUGACCUAUAGAGGCUGCACAUGCACAGGACACUUGUUUUUCUUUAUUUUCCUGAAGUUAUAUAUCACUGCCUUUAGUAUUUAUUUUAAAGUUAGAAACAGUAAGGUUCUAUACAUUUUGUUUAUAUAUCGCAUCAUUCCCCAAGGACAGAUUUCGGCCCCGCAGGAGUGAUGAUCGCCAGGUCCCAAGCAGCAGAGAAUGUCCAUACACUGCUGAAUGGCUUCCAAAAAUAUCUGUCCCAACUGUGUGUGAGAACACCCCCCUCUCCACUCUUCUCACUGCAAGGCUCCAGUGG